rnacentral:rRNA from 1 species
GUUCAUGGCUCAGGAUGAACGCUAGCUACAGGCUUAACACAUGCAAGUCGAGGGGCAGCAUGGUCUUAGCUUGCUAAGACUGAUGGCGACCGGCGCACGGGUGAGUAACACGUAUCCAACCUGCCGUCUACUCUUGGACAGCCUUCUGAAAGGAAGAUUAAUACAAGAUGGCAUCAUGAGUCCGCAUGUUCACAUGAUUAAAGGUAUUCCGGUAGACGAUGGGGA